ensembl:snoRNA U3 Small nucleolar RNA U3
AAGACUAUACUUUCAGGGAUCAUUUCUAUAGUUUGUUACUAGAGAAGUUUCUCUGAUCGUGUAGAGCACCCGAGUUUCUCUGAUCGUGUAGAGCAGAUGCAAUGUUCUCUCCUGAGCGUGAAGCCGGUCCUUGGUGUUGCUUCUGCAGCUGCCAUUGACCAUUGAUGAUCGUUCUUCUCUUCCUUUGGGAGAGUGAGAGGGGGAGGACACCAUCUGAGUGGU